rnacentral:tRNA from 1 species
UGGGUUGUGGCUCAGUGGUAGAGCGCUCAUGUAACAAGUGUGAGGUCCUGGAUUCAAUCCUCAGCACCACAU